rnacentral:rRNA from 1 species
AGGUGACCUCGGAUCAGGUAGGAAUACCCGCUGAACUUAAGC